GGAGAGGGUAUGGUCGCGUUUUGGGUUGCUCAAAUUACUUUGGCAAGUGGUGCUUGCAUCAGAAGGGCUCUGAACCAGACAGUUGAGAGUACUUGAUAGUUCCUUUCUCCCCAGAAUACACAGGUGCUGAACUCCAUGGAGAACUCCCUGGGUGUCAGUUGGGAUCCAGGACCUGAUGUGGAUAAUUACCUCUUGAUUAUCCAGCUGGGUACGAAAUGUUGGUGAAACAAAUCCAUGUGCCCAAAGAGAGCUCAGCUAUGAGAUUGUGAGAUUCCACCCUGGCACUAUGUACAUUGUCACACUUCCAUCACAUGUGAAGGGGAUUGCCAGUGAGCCCAAGCAUCUAGAAGCAAGUACAGGAGUCAUUAGCCCAACCAAUGUGACAGCCAACUGAGUGACAGAAGAUACCACCACUGGCUCAUGGAAUAAGAUGGAGGCUCCCUUAGACAGACAGGUAGAUGGGGAGAUACACCUUGGCUGGUGGAGACACCAAUGAAAUAGAGGUGGGCAGUGAAAAUGACAUGAUCACCUUCUGGAUCUGAAGCCAGACAUGGAAUGUCACCAACAACUGGCCAGGGAAGCAAGAAGGCAAGCACCAGAGCUGUGACAGGGGAUGCAAGGACCUACCACAGUGGCUGGAAGUUCACAACAUGGGAAGGGGACAAUGAUGUGGCUCUAAGCAGCUGUGCCCUGACACACCACAGUGCAUGGUGGCACAAGCACUCCACCUGGGAAAGCUCAAAGCGAGACCCGAGGAGAGCAAUCACUGUGAGGGUGUGAACUGGGAGUCAUGGAAAGGACAUGAAUUCUCCAUCUCUUUUAUCUGUCCUCAGUCUUCCAGUAAUGAGCCAGUCCUGGGGAGGAGGAAGAAGUCUUUAUCAGAGAAGAGGAAAAAGAUCAGGGCUUAAAUAGAACUCUGCAGAACAACUCAAAGAUAA